rnacentral:lncRNA from 1 species
CCGCGCCCAAAAAUUAGCCCCCGAAAGUCAGGCCGCCAAGACCCCCCAGCGGAAAAAUGGCCAAAAAACGGGUGGGCUAUAGCCUUGUUGGGGGCGUGGGCGAAUUUCGUCCGCCAGACUCGGAAUGGCCCCAGACUCGGAAUGGCCCCAGACUCUGCGGGCGGCCUCCGUGUGCCAAAAAUAGGCCACGGGCUCAGCCGCGCCCAAAAAUUAGCCCCCGAAGGUCGGGCUGCCAAGACCCCCCAGCGGAAAAAUGGCCAAAAAACGGGUGGGCUAUAGCCUUGGCGGGGGGCGUGGGCGAAGUUCGUCCGCCGGACUCGGAAUGGCCCCAGACUUUGCGGGCGGCCUCCGUGUGCCAAAAAUAGGCCACGGGCACAGCCGCGCCCAAAAAUUAGCCCCCGAAGGUCGGGGCGCCAAGACCCCCCAGCGGAAAAAUGGCCAAAAAACGGGUGGGCUAUAGCCUUGGUGGGGGGCGUGGACGAAGUUCGUCCGCCGGACUCGAAAUGGCCCCAGACUUUGCGUGCGGCCUCCGUGUGCCAAAAAUAGGCCACAGGCACAGCCGCGUCCAAAAAUUACCCCCCGAAGGUCGGGCCGCCAAGACCCCCCAGCGGAAAAAUGGCCAAAAAACGGGUGGGCUAUAACCUUGGUGGGGGGGCGUGGGCGAAGUUCGUCCGCCGGACUCGGAAUGGCCCUAGACUUUGCGGCCGGCCUCCGUGUGCAAAAAAUAGGCCACGGGCACAGCCGCGCCCAAAAAUUAGCCCCCGAAGGUCGGGGCGCCAAGACCCCCCAGCGGAAAAAUGGCCAAAAAACGGGUGGGCUAUAGCCUUGGUGGGGGGCGUGGGCGAAGUUCGUCCGCCGGACUCGGAAUGGCCGCAGACUUUGCGGGCGGCCUCCGUGGGCCAAAAAUAGGCCACGGGCUCAGCCGCGCCCAAAAAUUAGCCCCCGAAGGUCGGGGCGCUAAGACCCCCCAGCGGAAAAAUGGCCAAAAAACGGGUGGACUAUAGCCUUGGCGGGGGGCGUGGGCGAAGUUCGUCCGCCGGACUCGGAAUGGCCCCAGACUUUGCGGGCGGCCUCCGUGUGCCAAAAAUAGGCCACGGACACAGCCGCGCCCAAAAAUUAGCCCCCAACGGUCGGGGCGCCAAGACCCCCCAGCGGAAAAAUGGCCAAAAAACGGGUGGGCUAUAGCCUUGGUUGGGGGCGUGGGCGAAUUUCGUCCGCUGGACUCGGAAUGUCCCCAGACUUUGCGGGCGGCCUCCGUGUGCCAAAAAUAGGCCACGGGCACAGCCGCGCCCAAAAAUUAGACCCCGAAGGUCGGGGCGCCAAGACCCCCCAGCGGAAAAAUGGCCAAAAAACGGGUGGGCUAUAGCCUUGGUGGGGGGCGUGGGAGAAGUUCGUCCGCCGGACUCGGAAUGGCCCCAGACUUUGCGGGCGGCCUCCGUGUGCCAAAAAUAGGCCACGGGCACAGCCGCGCCCAACAAUUAGCCCCCGAAGGUCGGGCGGCCAAGACCCCCCAGCGGAAAAAUGGCCAAAAAACGGGUGGGCUAUAGCCUUGGCGGGGGGGCGUGGGCGAAGUUCGUCCGCCGGACUCGGAAUGGCCC